UGGCAACAUUACAUUGAAGACCACUGUGGCC
rnacentral:piRNA from 1 species